UCGGGAAUUUUGGGCAAUGGGCGCAAGCCUGAUCCAGCCAUGCCGCGUGCAGGAUGACGGUCCUAUGGAUUGUAAACUGCUUUUUGUACAGGAAGAAACAGUUCUACGUGUAGAACCUUGACGGUACUGUAAGAAUAAGGAUCGGCUAACUCCGUGCCAGCAGCCGCGGUAAUACGGAGGAUCCAAGCGUUAUCCGGAAUCAUUGGGUUUAAAGGGUCCGUAGGCGGUUAGAUAAGUCAGUGGUGAAAGCCCAUCGCUCAACGGUGGAACGGCCAUUGAUACUGUCUGACUUGAAUUAUUAGGAAGUAACUAGAAUAUGUAGUGUAGCGGUGAAAUGCUUAGAGAUUACAUGGAAUACCAAUUGCGAAGGCAGGUUACUACUAAUGGAUUGACGCUGAUGGACGAAAGCGUGGGUAGCGAACAGGAUUAGAUACCCACGUAGUCCCUGAGCGGGCUGGCAAGGCGCAU
rnacentral:rRNA from 1 species